AUUCCAUGGUGAGGACAAUCUGAUAUGUAUCCUUGAAAACGGUCCCAUGCUUCUGAAAUGGCUUCUGUCUUCUGCUGUUGGAAGGCAACAUUUCCUCUUAAGGCA
rnacentral:snoRNA from 1 species